rnacentral:rRNA from 1 species
AACGAACGCUGGCGGCGCGCCUAACACAUGCAAGUCGAACGAGAAUCCGGGGCAACCCGGUAGUAAAGUGGCAAACGGGUGAGGAAUACAUGGGCAACCUACCCUUGAGAAGGGAAUAACCCGCCGAAAGGUGAGCUAAUACCCUAUACGCUAUCUUUUUUUCGAAAAGGAUAGGAAAGCCGGGUCGAGGACCUGGUACUCAAGGAGGGGCUCAUGUCCUAUCAGCUUGUUGGUGGGGUAACGGCCUACCAAGGCUACGACGGGUAGCUGGUCUGAGAGGAUGAUCAGCCACACUGGCACUGAGAUACGGGCCAGACUCCUACGGGAGGCAGCAGUGAGGAAUAUUGCGCAAUGGGCGAAAGCCUGACGCAGCGACGCCGCGUGGGGGAUGAAGGUUUUCGGAUUGUAAACCCUUCAUGAGGAAAGAUAAAGUGGGUAACCACUUAGACGGUACCUCAAGAAGAAGCCACGGCUAACUUCGUG